GUCUGUGGCCAAACCACCCUGAAUGUGUCCCACCAUAUCUGAUCUUGGGAACUAAGGAGGAUUGAACCGAGUUAGUAGGUGGACAGAGACA
rnacentral:rRNA from 1 species